GCAAACUUGGUCAUUUAGAGGAAGUAAAAGUCGUAACAAGGUCUCCGUUGGUGAACCAGCGGAGGGAUCAUUAACGAGUUGCAAGACUCCCAAACCGUGUGAACAUACCCGUACGUUGCUUCGGCGGGCGGCCCCAGGGCGGGGCCGUGGCCUGCGAAGGCGCCCGCCGGAGGUACCUAAACCCUCUGUAUUAUGGGCUUCUCUGAGCACUAUUGAAUAAGUCAAAACUUUCAACAACGGAUCUCUUGGUUCUGGCAUCGAUGAAGAACGCAGC
rnacentral:misc_RNA from 1 species